rnacentral:rRNA from 1 species
UACGGAGGAUCCGAGCGUUAUCCGGAUUUAUUGGGUUUAAAGGGUGCGUAGGCGGCCUAUUAAGUCAGGGGUGAAAGACGGUAGCUUAACUAUCGCAGUGCCUUUGAUACUGAUGGGCUUGAAUGUACUUGAGGUAGGCGGAAUGUGGCAAGUAGCGGUGAAAUGCAUAGAUAUGCCACAGAACACCAAUUGCGAAGGCAGCUUACUAAAGUAUGAUUGACGCUGAGGCACGAAAGCGUGGGGAGCAAACAGG